GCUUUUUUAAAUAAGCUGCGGGGUAGGAAUUAAGGAACGCUUCCUCUUGGAGGUCAUAUUUGAAUUGAUUUUUAAGAAUAGUUUACUUCACAAGGAAGGAAGGACAUUCUAGGAAGAGCAAUUCACAGAGGAAUGAGUAAGCAUGGCAUGUUUUGGAGUGUCCAGUGGUAGCUGAGGAUGGAAUAUGGAGUUUGUAUGGAAUGGAAUGGGGAUGGAAAAAGCUUAAUGGUAUGAAGUUUUGGGUGGGGAGGUUUGGUAGGGGCCAGAUUCUGAAAGGUCCUUGGAUUUUUAAAGGCUGCUUAAAGGUUUUAAAGGCUGGUUAAAGGUUUUUUGUUUUACAUUUUUUAUGUCUUUAUGAGGGGUUUUGAAAAGAGAGACAAAAUCAGACUUGUGUUCUAGAAAGAUUACUUGGUGGUAGUGUGGAAGGUGGCCUGGAGCAGGUGAAGUCAAGGCAGGAAGAGAAGCUAGAAAACUUGCAGUAUUCAGGGUGAGAAAUGGUGAGGGUUCAGUUAAGGCAGGAGUAGUCAUGGGGAUUAAACCUGAAGGGUGGACCUGGCAGACUUAGAAACAUGCAGUGAGACUCUGGAGCCCAGAUGUGGAAUUCUGGUGAAGAGACUAGAUGGUGUAUCAAGUUUAUCUAGUUUGAUUUCUGGGUGAAUAAUCUCAGCAUCCAAGAGAAUAAGGGAUGCAGGAGGAGGAGCAGGUUUUUAGGUGGGGGGUUAGGGGAAGUAUGUUUAUAUUUUCCCUUGUUUAGUUUGAGUGAUCAAAGGAGAGAUGAGAUUCCUGGUAGGCAGUUAGAUAAAUGGGUCUGGACUUAGGAGAGAAGAUUAGAACCAGAGGUAAAGAUUCAGUUUAUAAAUGGUAAUUGAACCAGCUUUAUGGGCAAAUCACUCUGGAAGGAAUGUGUGGAGCAGUUUUUAACUUGGGGUAUCGUAUCUCUCCUUCAGAAAGAUUCAUGAUCCCUAUGAGAUUCCAUACAGCAAUUUGUUUUUUUGCCUGUGUGUAUAAUGAGAUUCUCAAAGGGGUCUGUGAACCAAGAUUACUGUGGAACACUGGAAUGGAGUAAGAAGGAUGGAUCUUAAUAUAGAAACAUGGGGAAUACUGAAAUUAAGGAGACGACAGAAGAAGAAGAUGUAAGACGUUGAGGAGACAGUGUUAGGAGAGAACAGAGGAGAGCAACCCUUCCUUUUAAGGAAGAAUGAUCAACAAGAAAUGCCCAUUGGUUUGAGAGCAGCAAUUUUUACCUUCCUUUAGAAGAUUGAGUCUAGGGAAAUACUUUAGUAUAUGAACAACUGGAAGGGAAAUUGCUAUAGGGAAGGAAGGUUGAAAGUAGAAAUGUGAAAAGGUAUGAAUAGUUAGGUGGGUAACUGAUGAAGGGAGGAUUGGAGCCAGAGCAGUAGAGGAUGGAAGACUUACCUUGGAGGAAAGAAGAAAAGGGUGUUUGUGUGUGUGUAUGUUGGACAGGAGUGGGUGUGAGGACAGUGGGAAGUGGGGAAAGAGGGAGAAUAUUUAAAUAUGUAAAGCCUCUGGUAAUUUGCAACAUUUAUUGGAUUUUAUUUUGAAACUUUUAUAGAAAAUUUCAACAUACCAGAUAGAACUUUCUGUGACCUCAAUAAUUAAUGAUAGCCAAUGGUAAGACUUUUGAUACACUCUAUGAAUCUUGCCAUAAAAUCUUAUAAUCAUCAAAUUUUAGGACUGGAAAGAACCUAGAUAGUCACUUUAUAGCUUUAAUAAAUGGAGGACCAAGUCUCUUAAUUUUUUUUUUUUUUUUUUUUUUUGAGAUAGUGAGUGGGAGCGGGGGAGGGUCAGAGAGAGAGGGAGACACAGAAUCUGAAGCAGGCUUCAGGUUCUGAGCUGUCAGCACAGAGCCUGACAGCGGGGCUCAAACCCGCUAACCGUGAGAUCAAGACCUGAGCCAAAGUCAGAUGCUCACCUGACUGAGCCACCCAGGCACCUCAGGCCAAAUCUCUUUUAAAAGCACAUCAUUAUUAUUCAUUACAUAUAUUUACUCAAAAUUGAUCAGAUUUGGACAGUUAACAGAAUUAACUAAUUAUAAUGAAUGCCAUAUAUGCACUACCCAAAUCCCCACUCAAGAUUGAAAGACUUCAUUCUCUUAAUCACUGAGAGUGUUGCUGGGGCUGUCAGACCUUCCUGGGAAUUGCCCUUGGACGAAGAGAACCUCUCAGUCAAGCUCACACCCCUUCCUGGGAGUAGCCUGUGUCUGAAGACCAGUCUAUUAAAGACCUGGGUCCCUUGCCUCAACGUAGGGCAUCCUUAAGCCCCAUCUUAGUUCUGAGUUUCAGAGCUUCCAGUGGGGUCAUCUGAGGCCUUUGUUGUGAUUCUAUCCCAGCCUAACUUGAUCUUCGUCAGCUCCUUCCUUUUCCUUCCUUUCUCUGCAAGUGGUAAUCCUGAGUGCCCCAGGGAAACUUCUGGCACACUUAAGAGUUUGAGUGGCUAGGGACCUGACUUCCAACACUGAUGAACUUUAAAAUUUCUUUUGAUUUAUAACAGAUUUGCCAAACUUUAAAGGAUUAACAUCUACCAGUUUUCCAUGUUUCUGGGAAAUAUCCAGGCAAAUGUUGAAAGAUAAAAUUGUGUAAUAAUGUAAUAAAAAAUUUAAUUUUAUAGUGCCAAACAUACAGAAAAAAUCAUUAGGACUUGUUUUAGGAUGGGAUAAAAAGAGGAAUACUUUCUUAAACAUGUUGAACAAAGAUCUUGGCAUUUAGUUAGCUUUUUCCCUCCUUCUCCCAUCAUUCAUUGUUUGUAUUUCUGCUGUCUUGUUUUUAUUGCCUAUGUAAAUUGAAAGUUGACCUUCACCCCAUUUGAGAUCAGACUCAUGUUUUCAUUGAUUUUUCUUGAGAAUUUUAAAAAUAUGGCCAAUUUUUCUUUUGUGGUCAUACUGUAGAGAAUGGAAGUCUAUGAAGUCUAUUUGAAACAAAUACGGUUAGAUUGAGUCUAUACAAAAGUCUUGCCCUCAUGGUUGAGGAAAGAUGUGCCUAGCAGAAUCCAAGACUACAUUCCUAAACAAAAUACUUGAUUUUCUGCCUGCAGCAUUUUGAGAGUGCCUUUCCAAGAUCAAGUGUGCCACCUGUCAUCAUUCAGUCAAAUGUUUUGUCAUUGCUAUAAGUUACCAUCCUGUCUUGGAUCCAAAAGCUUCAGAGCAAUGUCAUUUGGCUGGCAACAACAUUCUUCUUGCUUUUAAUAAAGCUCCCCUCUCUUUGUCAGUAUUUCUUUUUGUUUAUGUGACUGUAGACAUAUUCAAGGUGGUCAGUGAAGUUAUCUGUGCCAUUUGGAAAGGAAUGGCUGAUGAAAUGUACCUUAACUUAUUCAAAAGUAAUUGCUUGAUUCAGUAAUAUGCGUGAAACUGGAAAACUUUCUAUUUAAGAACUCUACUUUUUUUGAGUAUUUUAAGAUAACCAGUUAGUACUAUUUUUUUCUUAAGUUUCUUCAGGAAUGAUUUUAAGAAAAUCUUGUGGAAUAUAAUGAUUUCAUUUUAGUAAGUAAAGUUUUGUCAUUUAUUCUUUUCUUCCCUUUGCUUUAUAACUCUAAUAAGAGUUAAUGGUUGCUUUUUAUUUUCUAAUUAGUUUUGAUAUGGGUCCAUUUGUUGGGAAGCAAAUCUAGAUUGUUAGGGAAACAUUUUACUGAGUUAAUAUAUAGGAAUGUAUCUUUUGUGGUAUCUCUUCUGUUUUUAUGUUGCUUGCGUUAUCAGCAAAAACAAAAAACUGCUUCCUGUCUUUUGUAGAAUGCCACAUGUUUUACAAUUGAUGGGUUCUGUACUAUUUUAAUUUUUCUCUUUCAUUAUUUUAGUAAAACUGGUUGAGGUAUUAUUUAAAAAGAUUGAUCUUUUUUUCCCCUCUUCCCAGAUAUUUUCCCAUAUAUAUAAGUAUUGUAAGAUUUGUGUCUUCUUGUGGAUUCCUUGAGUGUUUAAUAUUCUAGUUUCCAAGAAUGCUUCUUGAGAAGUGGUAUUACGGUUUUAAUCAUUAACCAUGACCUGCCUGUGUGCAUUUUUCACUUUCUGAUAGUGGCAUUUCAGGAUGUUGUUCAUGUGAGUCUUUGGCUAAUUUUUCCUGAUCCUCAAGUAUCAUCUCAGAUACAAGUAAGAUUUAUAUAAAAUUACUUGCAUUAUUUGAGGUUAUUGAUUAGGCAAUCCUUGUUGCUAUAAUAGAAGCAUUUCUGGGAGGAGUUCUGGAGAGGGGUUGGUGAUAAAUACAGAAUGUUUUGGUUCUGAUAAAUGCUCUUUUGUGCAUAUGCCAUUUUACUUAGAAUUAUAUGAUCCAUUUUUGUCAAAUGCCAAAAUUAAACCAUUGAGAUAGAUUAAUUCCUUAAACCAUUUUCUGUUUUUUUUAAGUUUAUUUAUUUAUUUUGAGAGAGUGAGUGCAUGCUGGAGGGAGGCAGGGAGAGGAGGAGAGAGAGAGAGAGAGAAAGAGAGUAAAUCCCAGCAGGCUCUCCACACUGACAGCUCAGAGUCCAUUGCAGGGCUCAGUCCCACAAACAGUUGAGAUCAUGACCUGAGCCGAAAUCGAGUCAGAUGCUUAACUGACUGAGCUACCUAGGUGCCCCACCAUUUUCCAUUUUUUUAAAUCAGUUUUCGUUUUACAGAAAUUACUUACAUUGGGAUCUUUUUUUCCCAUAUAAACUCUAAAAUGAGAACCAGUGAUUCUUUAGUCCCUCUGUUGUUCAUGUCUAAUUUGUUUAUAUUACAUUUUAACCUGUAGUAGCUUUUGCCAUUGUAGGUUUUAUUUUAUUGUUAUUGCCAGUUCCAGUGUUCACUGGAUCAUUUUUUAGUCAUUAACAACUUUUGCUAAACAUUUGAGCAAUAACCACUUUUUCUUUUUCUUGUGUCCCCUCUCUGCACUCCCUAAACUUAAUUUCCCCCAGUAAUCUGGUGAAAAUAUUAGUGGAGUUAAGUGCUGUCACAGUUAAAGUGGAGAAGCAGAUCUUGCUUUUGUACCUGAGUAAGACCUAAUUUACUUGGUAGUCUGCAUGUCAACAUAAAAUGUAUAGUAUGGCUACUUUUACCAGUGGUAUUUUGAAGUGAAUGAAUUGCCAGUUAGUUGCUUUUUUAAAAAUUGGGAUCAUUGGGGCGCCUGGAAGAGUUUGCUCAGAGAUUAAUGAUAUUCUUGUUUGCUUAUGCCAGGGAGGAGUGCCUUUUCCUUGAAUGGAGAAGGGGCAAGCUGAUGUGGGACCUAGUUAAAAUUUGUUUAUUUAUUUUGGUGGUGGUGGUCUUUCAAACUUUAGCUGCUCUGUAAAUCUUGAUGCAUUUAUUCUCUUCAGUGGUAGGGAUAAAAUGCAUGGCAACCAAUCCAAAUGCUAGCUUUGAUAUACUAAUACUGAAAAGUAAUGAUUUGAGUCAUGUAUGUUAAAUCUGUGGGAAAGUUUUAUGGCUAAAAAGCAUGUUUAUUGAGAAAAGUGUAAUUUAUAAAAUCUGUUUAAAAAAAAUUUUUUUAGCAUUUAUUUUUGAGACAGAGAGAGACAGAACAUGAACGGGGGAGGGUCAGAGAGAGGGAGACACAGAAUCCGAAACAGGCUCCAGGCUCCGAGCUGUCAGCACAGAGCCUGAUGGGGGGCUCGAACUCACGGACCGCGAGAUUAUGACCUGAGCCGAAGUCAGAUGCUUAACCGACUGAGCCACCCAGGCGCCCCUAUGAAAUAUGUUUUGAUGGCUGAAUUAAAGCCCUUUUCUAGUGCUUUAAAAGUUUUUUCUCAAAGCUAAGUAUGGCUUAAAAAUUACUUAGAUUGUUGAUUUAGGUGUGAUAAUGGCAUUGCAGCUUAGAAGAAAAAGUAUUUUGUAGUGAUUAAUACUGAUGUUUAUAUAUAGAGAAGUGAAUUAACGAUCUGGGACUUGUUUGAAAUACUUAACAAAAGGGUAUAUGAAGCAAAUGUAGCAUAAUCUGGAUAAUUAUUAAAUUUGGGUGGUAAUAUAUGAGGGGUAAUUGUACUAUUUUCUGAUUUUGUCUGAAAAUUUUAUUGUAAUAAAAAGUUUCACAAAAUUAAGAACAUUAAAAAAUCUGGUAUUACGUAUAUUAGUAAAUUAAUUACCUGCAGUUCUGUAUUCCUAGAAAUUCCUAGAAUUGCCAUUGUGGUAAUCUAAAACUAAGACUUAGUUUCAAAUUAUAAUUGGCUGAUUUGGGGAUGGGAACAGUUAAUAAGAGGGAGAACAGAUAAACAAUUAGUAACUUUUUUUAGUUGAGAAGUAAAAAAUGAGUAUUGAGUCGUUAGUCUUUUGGGGUCAGUAUAGCAUCAUUUAAUGUUUAAAACAGAGCACAUAUUAUCAAAUUCAUUUAGUUACUAGACAACUUGUAUUAUGUAAAGGAAAUAUUUCCUGAGAUAUAUUGCAGGUUCAGGAUUCAAGGCAAUGCAGUGAGAAAUUUUUCUAUCACGAACAAUACAUUUUUUGAAAUCAGAUGUGUUUUUUUGAGCAAGUUAUUUUUUGCACUUGAAUGUGAAACUAUGUGGAAUAUGAUCAAAGCUAAAAUUAAACUUUGCAAAUUCUCCCCGGUUUUUUUUAAACUUAGAAAAAAUUUUUAACUUUGUUUAUUAAAAAAAAAUUGUUUAUUUUUGAGAGAGAGGCAGUGUGAGUGGGGGAGGGGAAGAGAGAGAGGCUCUCUGAAGCAGACUCCAGGUUCUGGGCUGUUAGCACAGAGCCUGACACAGGGCUUGAACCCACGAACCAUGAGAUCAUGACCUGAGCUGAAGUUGAACGCUUAACCGACUGAGCCACCCAGGCACUCCAAGUUUAUUUAUUUUGAGAGAGAAAGAGCACAAGUGUGCACGAGCCAGGGAGGUGCACAGAGAGAGUGAGAGAAUCCCAAGCAGGCUCCCCCGUGCUGUCAGUGUAGAGCCCGCUGUGGGGCUCAAACCUACGAACCGUGAGAUCAUUACCUGAGCAUCAAGAGUCAGAUCCUUAACCAACUGGAGCCACUCAGGUGUCCCUCCUCCUCAGUUUUUAUAGUAGAGUCUGCAGUGAGUGAUACAUUUCCCCUUGAUUCAUAAUGCCCAUCCAUUUUAUUUUCUAUGUUAGAUGUAUUUUUACAGUUGUAGAAGUGUUAUCUAACAUUUCUUUUUUUGGAUGGUGGGGAGGAGUUUCCUUGGGGGCAUAUAAUAGGUAUAUGGGUAACACUUACCUAGCUCUAAGAACCCCCUGAAUCUUUUUCAAUUCUUCCUCCUAUUGCUGGAGCUGCCUUUGUUGUGAAGUGUAAAGAACCCUCUGGGAAGCUUUUGGGAGUUAGGAUGAUUAGCUGAGUGCAUAAAACAAGAUUGCCUAAAGGCAUCUUUAAUGGUACGUUACAGAUCAAAGUAUUUCUGUUGGGGAAUGAUUGGACAAUCCAGUAGGUAAUACGAAACCAGGUAAUGGAGAUUCUUAAGAACUCAGUGGUGGUGGAAUACUGAAUCAGAGUUUUUGGAUGCUUUCUACUCUAUUUUCAGUUCUCAGUAUUAGACAUACUCUCUUAAUACCUCAGAAAGGGAUACAAAGAUGUGUAAGGUAUAAAUCCUUUAAGGUGUUUGGUAUUUCAGGGGGAGUUUUGAUUGAAGUGACUGUUGUAAAGAUCAGUGAUAGAAUGAAGGCAGUCCUUACCACUUAGCUUGUACAGUUUGCAUAUUAUUAGGGGUUACAAAAUGAUGACAUUCAAAUUAUAUCAUGUGUUCUUCAUUUAUUAGCUGCAAUUAUUCCUGUAAAGAGAAACUUGUCAUCUAUGAUUGGGUUACUUGGUAGUGUAGUUGAUAAAUAGUUAAGUCAGAAUACUUGAAGAAUGCUUGCUCUUUAUUUACCACUUUUGAAAGUAUGAGCUGGUUCACUAGCAUCCUGAAACUGAGUUUUCCUUUCUUCCUUCCUUCUUUUCUUCUUCCCUCCCUCCCUCCCUCCCUUAAAUCCAUCCAUGAACUCAGAGAUUUGAACUUUUUAGAUAUGCUUCAUUCCAUUUUAUUUAUGCAUGUUCAGAUUUGUUCAUGUUUGGUCAGCAGGAACCUCUUCAGGUUUGCUCCUGAGUCCCUUUAACACAGUUAUGAUCUUUGAUAAUUUCCUUGCUUUCUAGUAACAAGGUAAUCAAAAUUCAUCUUGUCUAAUUUAUGUCACAGUUCUGGAAACAGUUAUUUGUCCAAGAAGCCCUGAUUCCUUUGAAUAGGAAAUUGUUUUUCAGUACCAUUAUCUGAGUUUAUUGCUACUGGGGUUAGUCCCUUGCUUCCAGGCCUUUUCAGUGUGUAGUGCUAGGAAAUCUCCAUAUUUAAGAAGAAAACAUGAAUUUAUACUGAUAAGUCAAUUGAAAUUCAGAACUACAGGACUUUCUGCUUAACUUUUUCUAUCUUCUGACUUCUUCCUACUACAAAAACCACAAAAAACAGACUUUCAAGGAUAUCCACAUUUACUUUAUCCUACAGUAGACAUCAACACUUUCACAGUAACUACUGACACUUACCAACAUUGCGAUUACUGAAAAAACAAAACAAGGAUGCUAGGAUUAGUCAAUUUUCUGUGUUACAAAGUCAUUUAAAAUAGUUAAUCUUUGAAUGGUUAUACCAUCAAUUUGGUAUAAAAUUAUAACUACUUGUUUUUCAUUUUUAGGGAUUUCUUUUAAAAUUUUAGUUUGUGGGGUACCUGGGUGGCCUUGGUUGAGUGUCUGACUUUGGCUCAGGUCAUGAUCUCAUGGUUCGUGGGUUCUUACCCACAUUGGUUCUUACCCAUGUUGGGUUUUGCACUGAUAUUGCAGAACCUGCAUUGAAGAAGUCUGUCUCCCGCUCUCUCUCAAAAAUAAAUAAACAUAAAAAAAAAAAUAGUUUGUUAUAUAAUUAUGUAAAACAUUUACAUGGUUUGAAAGUUAAAAGCUACAAAACAGGUUAAACCCAGAAUAGUGUAGUUCUUUCCGUUUGCUUUGUUCAUUCUCUCCAAUAAGUAGGGUAUUCUUUUAACCUUACAGCUUAUUCUUUUAAGCAUAUACAUAUGUAUCUCUAUAUUCAUAUCUUCCCCAUCCUACCUUAAAUAAAUUCAAGGGUAUUUAUUCUAAGAAGUCUUAUAUUGAGUGGAAGGUUGGAUUUCAUAACUACUGGUGCUUUGUUUUUUUUGUUUUUGUUUUUGUUUUUUUAAUUUUAGAGUUGUGCAACCAUCACCCUGCCAGGAUAUUAGAACAUUUUCAUCACGGCCAAAAAGUUCCAUUGUGCCCAUUUACAGUUAAUCCUGGUUCCUGGUCCCAGCCCUAGGCAGCCACUGUCCACUUUUCUGUUAUUUCUAGAUAUUUUAUAUAAAUGAAAUAAUACAGUAAUGUACUAUUUUACAUCUGGCUUCUUUCACUUAGCAUGUUUUUAAAGUUAAUCAUGUUGUAGCAUGUAUACCAGUGGUUCUUUUAAUUGCUGAACAGUAUUCUGUUGUAGGAAUAUAUACAUUUUGUUUAUCUUACCAGUUGAUGGACAUUUGGAUUGUUUCCAGUUUUUGUCUAUUGUGAGUAAUGCAGCUUUAAAUAUUCACAUUUAUAUGGAUGUAUAUUUUCAUUUCUCUUUGAGAAGGUUCCUAGGAGCAGAAUUCCUGGUUUAUAUGGUAAAAUGUAUGUUUAACUUUUUAAAGAAACUACCAGACUGUUUUUCAAUGUGAUUUAUACUUUACAUUCUCACCAGCAAUACAGAAGGGUUCUAGUGUCUCCACAUCUCUGCCAACUGUUGGUGUACUUUCUGUCAUUUUGAAUUUAUCCUUUCUAAUAGGUGUGUAGCAGUGUGGUAAGGUUUUACUUUUAAUGAUACUGAGAAUGUGUUCAUGUGCUUAUUAGACAUUCAUUUUUUUUGGUGAAAUGUUUCUUUAAAUCUUUUGCCCAUGUUUAAUAUAGAGUUGUCUUUUUACUCAUUUGUAUGAAAUGUUUUAAUAUGUUAUAAGCCCCUUAUCAUUUACUUUUUCAACUUUACAUUUACAAAUACUUUUUUGUAUAUACAAAUACAAAUGUAUUUUGUAUAUACAAAUACAAAUGUAUUUACAAAUACAUUUACAAAUACUUUUUCACAGUCUGUGGAUUAUCUUUUCAUUUUCUUAAUGGUGUCUUUUGAAGCACAUAUUUUUAAUUUUGUGCAAAUCCAUUUUAUAUUUUUUUCCCUUUUGAAGAUUGUGUAUUGAUGUCACAUCUAACACUUUGCCCAACCCAAAGUUAUGAUUUUCUCCUGUGUUUUUCUUCUAGAGUUUUAGGUCUUACGUUUAGGUGUUUGUGAUCCAUUUUGAGUUAAUAUUUGUGUGUGUUAUAAGAUAAGGAUCUGAACAGUUGUUGGUUUUUGUUUUUGGCAUUUGAGUAUUGAAUUGUCCCACGUGAUGUGUGGAAAAUACUCUCCCUUUUGAAUUAUCUGGGCGCUCGUUGCACAAAUCAGUUGACUAUAAAUGUAAGAAUUUUCAUUCUGGACUCUCUUUUCCAUUGAUUUAUAUGCUUAUCCUUUUGGCACUACCACAUUGUUUUGAUUACUGUAGCUUUAAAGAUGAUUUUGGAAUUUGAUAGAAUAAGUCUUCUGACUUUGCUGUUUUAAAAAAUUGUUCUGGCUAUCCCAGGUCCUCUGAUUCCCUAAGAAUUUUAGAAACAAUCUGUCAAUUAAAAAACAAAACGAAACAACUCACCUGAGAUUCUCAUAAGGAUUACAUUGAAUUUAUAGAUCAACUUGGGAUGAAUUUUCUUUUUUUUUUUUUAACUUUUUUUUUAAACAUUUAUUCAUUUUUGAGAGACCGAGACAGAGCAUGAGCAGGGGAGGGGCAGAGAGAGAGACACACAGAAUCUGAAGCAGGCUCCAGGCUCUGAGGUGUCAGCACAGAGCCCAACGUGGGGUUCAAACCCACAAACUGCAAGAUCAUGACCUGAGCCAAAGUCGGACGCUUAACCAUCUGAGCCACCCAGGCGCUCCGGGGUGAAUUUUCAUCCUGUGUUUAACCUGGGCUUAUGCAGCCUCAGGCUGCUAAGAACUGUGCUGUUUGCCUUCUCCAGCUGAGUAGCUUCCGAGAAGUCACUUUGAGUGAU